rnacentral:rRNA from 1 species
CCUACGGGAGGCAGCAGCGAGGAAUCUUGCGCAAUGGGCGAAAGCCUGACGCAGCAACGCCGCGUGGGGGAAGAAGGCCUUCGGGUUGUAAACCCCUUUUGCAGGGGAAGAAGCUCUGACGGUACCCUGCGAAUAAGCCACGGCUAACUACGUGCCAGCAGCCGCGGUAAUACGUAGGUGGCAAGCGUUGUCCGGAUUUACUGGGCGUAAGGGCGUGUAGGCGGCCCCUUAAGUCCGGGGUGAAAUCUCUCGGCCCAACCGGGAGGGGUCCCUGGAUACUAAUGGGCUAGAGGGGGGCAGAGGAAGGUGGAAUUCCCGGUGGAGCGGUAAAAUGCGUAGAUAUCGGGAGGAACACCAGUGGCGAAGGCGGCCUUCGGGGCCUUACCUGACGCUGAGGCGCGAAAGCGUGGGGAGCAAACCGGAUUAGAUACCCCUGUAGU